UGUUGGUUUGUUUAUAAUUUGCUUUUCGCUGUUUGAAAUAUUACGUAAAAACAUUCUGCAAUCGCUUAAAAGUAAUACAAAUUUAGUCUCAGUUUUCUGUUAUUCUUCAAAAAUAAAUUUAAUAAAAUGAAGAAUACAAACGAGACUGCGUCUUCUAAUUUGACAUCCUCUUUACAAGAUGCUCAAAUUAUGUAUAUGAAAAGAAUAGAGAAAGAAAAUUUGGAUCGAGUUCUAAGAUUAAAAAGAAUGCGAAGAAAUAAUAUUAUUACAGGAUUCGGUCUUGCAGGUGCUGUCUUGGGAACAUAUCUGUAUUCCAUUUUGGCAGUGAAGCAAGAAAAUUUCUUAGAUGAAUUAGAUGAGAAAGAAACCAGCUGAAAAUAUUUAUGGACUUAUUUUAUUUUGAAAAAUUUGAUUUGUAAAAAGGAUAAUUUUAUGUUCAUGUUGUAGAGUAAUGUAAUAAAAAACAACAUUCAUGUUUUG